GUUUUCUUGGCACAAGACGACCUGCUCCAGUGCAGUGUGUGGUCAGGAUCUCAUGUACAGAAUGUGGGCUAUCCUGAGAAGAUUUUCAAUUUUUAAAAAAUCCCAUGCCAAGGCUCUGAAAUAUCACACAGCUGCCAGUGACCUUGCUUGCAAGGAGGAGAGUCCACAGAAUCCCAAGUAAAGGAAGCUUCUUUGAGAUGCCAAAAUUAGAGCGAGUCAAGACACUUCUGAGCACAAUACAAGCUCUACCUAUGUAUUUUCCAGUUCCUCUGCAAUCUAUUCUCCAUCAGCUACUGCAAGUUUCCUCCAGCCACUUAUAAAUCUGAGGUGCUUUAUAGCGACCAAGUCACCUACAUUUCUUUGGAAUGUCGCAGGAAACAAUUACAUUCCGAGGAAAUCCAUAUGUGUACAAGAAGAACAUGCAGAUAGUAAUCUACGUUCAGGAACAAACCUGGAUUACUGGCACAAUGAAGCCACAGCAUUGCUAACCUGUGCUAACCAUAGCUAACCUGUGUUUCAGGGAUAAAUCUUGUUCAUGAUAUUGCUUUGUACUUCAUUGCUCCAGAAAAGUCUUAUUAAUCCUUUUACAAUCAUCUGAAUGCAUAAACAGAGCCUCAGUUUAAACUCUAGCAUCAAAGCUCUUCUUGAAGGGAUUAGCUAUAUUUAUCAGAAUCAGAAUCAGGUUUAAUGCUUUGGCAUUUGCUGUGAAAUUUGUUGUUUUGUGACAGGAGUACAUUGCAAUACAUAAUAAUAAAAACUAUAAAU